rnacentral:rRNA from 1 species
AUUGAACGCUGGCGGCAUGCCUUACACAUGCAAGUCGAACGGCAGCACGGGAGCAAUCCUGGUGGCGAGUGGCGAACGGGUGAGUAAAGUAUCGGAACGUGCCCAGUCGUGGGGGAUAACGUAGCGAAAGUUACGCUAAUACCGCAUACGAUCUAUGGAUGAAAGCGGGGGAUCUCAAGACCUCGCGCGUUUGUAGCGGCCGAUAUCAGAUUAGGUAGGUGGUGGGGUAAAGGCUCACCAAGCCGACGAUCUGUAGCUGGUCUGAGAGGACGACCAGCCACACUGGGACUGAGACACGGCCCAGACUCCUACGGGAGGCAGCAGUGGGGAAUUUUGGACAAUGGGCGAAAGCCUGAUCCAGCCAUGCCGCGUGCAGGAUGAAGGCCUUCGGGUUGUAAACUGCUUUUGUACGGAACGAAAAGGUUUGGCCUAAUAAGCUGAGCUCAUGACGGUACCGUAAGAAUAAGCACCGGCUAACUACGUGCCAGCAGCCGCCGUAA